rnacentral:rRNA from 1 species
UGGGGAAUUUUGGACAAUGGGCGAAAGCCUGAUCCAGCCAUGCCGCGUGCAGGAUGAAGGCCUUCGGGUUGUAAACUGCUUUUGUACGGAACGAAAAGACUCUGGUUAAUACCUGGGGUCCAUGACGGUACCGUAAGAAUAAGCACCGGCUAACUACGUGCCAGCAGCCGCGGUAAUACGUAGGGUGCAAGCGUUAAUCGGAAUUACUGGGCGUAAAGCGUGCGCAGGCGGUUAUAUAAGACAGAUGUGAAAUCCCCGGGCUCAACCUGGGAACUGCAUUUGUGACUGUAUAGCUAGAGUACGGCAGAGGGGGAUGGAAUUCCGCGUGUAGCAGUGAAAUGCGUAGAUAUGCGGAGGAACACCGAUGGCGAAGGCAAUCCCCUGGGCCUGUACUGACGCUCAUGCACGAAAGCGUGGGGGAGCAAACAGGAUUAGAUACCCCUGGUAGUCCACGCCCUAAACGAUGUCAACUGGUUGUUGGGGUCUUCACUGACUCAGUAACGAAGCUAACGCGUGAAGUUGACCGCCUGGGGAGUACGGCCGCAAGGUUGAAACUUAAAUGAAUUGACGGGGU